rnacentral:rRNA from 1 species
CUCGGCGGUUCUGGCGAGGCGGACCCACCCGUUCCCAUCCCGAACACGGAAGUGAAACGCCUCAGCGCCGACGAUACUGAAGGGGCAACUCUUUGGGAAAAUAGGUCACCGCCGGGC